rnacentral:rRNA from 1 species
UGGGGAAUAUUGGACAAUGGGGGGAACCCUGAUCCAGCAAUGCCGCGUGUGUGAAGAAGGCCUGAGGGUUGUAAAGCACUUUCAGAGGGGAGGAGGACUAUUAGGUUAAGAGCUAGAUAGUUGGACGUUACCCUCAGAAGCAGCACCGGCUAACUCCGUGCCAGCAGCCGCGGUAAUACGGGGGGUGCAAGCGUUAAUCGGAAUUAUUGGGCGUAAAGGGCGCGUAGGCGGGGAUAUAAGUCAGAUGUGAAAUCCUGGGGCUCAACCUCAGAACUGCAUUUGAAACUGUAACUCUAGAGGAUAGGAGGAGAAGACGGAAUUCCACAAGUAGCGGUGAAAUGCGUAGAUAUCGGAAGGAACACCAGUGGCGAAGGCGGCUUCCUGGUCCAACACUGACGCUGAGGCGCGAAAGCGUGGGGAGCAAACAGGAUUAGAUACCCGUGUAGUCCCUGAGCGGGCUGGCAAGGCGCAU